rnacentral:rRNA from 1 species
UACGUAGGGGGCAAGCGUUGUCCGGAAUCAUUGGGCGUAAAGAGCGUGUAGGCGGCUUGGUAGGUCUCGCGUCAAAACCUGAGGCUCAACCUCAGUUCGCGUGGGAAACCACCUAGCUAGAGUCCGGAAGAGGAGAACGGAAUUCCCAGUGUAGCGGUGAAAUGCGCAGAUAUUGGGAAGAACACCAGUGGCGAAGGCGGUUCUCUGGGACGGUACUGACGCUGAGACGCGAAAGCGUGGGGAGCGAACAGG